GACGUUUUGAGCUGGGUGUAAGAUCCAGGUCGGGGAGAAGGAAGAUAGAAUUCCUCGGGAGACAGCCACAUGGUUCACAAAGUCACUGUCAACAGGCUGAGUAACAGAUUCAAACUUUGUGAUUGUGGAAUUGGAAAGUUGAAGAUCUGGAUCCAAGUCAUCUUGAGCUAACUUUGGUCCUUUCCGUGACUAGCAGUAUUCCUUCAUCUGACCUGACAUCCUUUGACCAGCAGGUUAAACUUUUAACAUGUGUUCCUGGCAGACGACUGGUAUCCACAAAUUCAAUAGCCGAGAAUGGCAGCAUUACGUGUCUGAAACCUAAGACAGGCUUCCCCUACUUUGCCUGGGAUUCCCACCAGUGAGAUUGAAAAGAAGUACUUGGCAUUAGCAAAGGCACUUGGAUAAUUUAAACAAACACACUCUUGACGGGAGGAUCAGAACUGAGUUCCCCACCCUGUCUCUUUGCUUACUGGGAACUUUCCUGCCAGCAUUUCAGAAGAGUCGAGAACAGGCCUACGUGAAUGCUCGCAUGUCCAUGCAAUCCUGUCCGUCUGGGCUCUCUGGCAGUCCUUACAUUCUUCAUCUUUUGACGAACGAGAGACUAGGAAGGACACGUCUGAUAAAUCCGUCCUCCAAAUCACAGCGUCGGGAAUCCAUGCUACUCAGGAUGCUCUAUGAAUAAAUCCCAUUGCCUACUGUCUGGGCACACACACCGUCAAACGUAACAGACCCUUUGUUAUAAUUUCAUUACUAGUCUUCACAAAACUUGCUAUCUUCGCUGGGCAGUAGUGUACACGCCUUUAGUCCC
rnacentral:sRNA from 1 species